UGAGCCGAGCUGAGCUGAGCUCAGCCGAGCCGAACCGAACUCCGAUGAGCUGGCCGAACUGAGUUGAGC
ensembl:miRNA